AUGGUCGGAUCCAGCGGCGACGGGGAGAGGCUCGUCUCCGCUCCCAUGGAGAAAUCAACAGUUCGGGCAGGUGGAUUCGGCGUGGGUUUGUUCAUGGUUGCUGUUAGUUCUUUUCAGUUUCGAUGGUUCGUAGUGACCCCCGUGCACCUCGCCGUCCUGGUCGCCCAUGUGGAAUCCGGCUCGGGGUUGGUGGUCGUGUGCGUGCUGAGCGAGGAUCAGUUGACGGUCGUACUGGUUUUGCUGAUGGCCAGUACUGUUUUGAGCGUGCUCACAGUUCUUCACUCGCUGGUCGCGUUCGUGGUAGCCGGGGUUCUGCUGAUUGUAGAGGGUGUGGUGAGAGUGUUGGUGGUUCUGCCGUUGGUCCUAUGCCGCAUGCAGUGCCUUCUGGUAGCUUGCCCGUGCAGUCUCCUGUGCCCGCCGGCCGUCGGUCGCUUGAUCGUUCGUCUGAUUAUUUCUCUAAUGAUGGCACUGGUGAAUCUUUGUUACCUCAUGAGGCACGUCGUCGUCGACGAGAGAUUCGUAUGGGAAAGCGACCUGUUGAUUUUGCUGAAGGUUGGAUGUGCUUUGGGGUCGUGUUCGCAUGAUUUCCCAGCGUCUUCGGUUUCGGCUGAUAGUUCUUGCCGCACUGUACCAUCUGCUAGAUCUAUUUUAUGUGGUGGAUCCAGUGACGGCAACGUCGGUAGUGCUGUUCAUGCACCGUUGGAUGAUUUUAUAUCAACCGCACGCCCAAAUUGGUGCCCUGCCGUCAACUGGAUGUCGUCCCCGUGCGGUGCCGUUGUUGAGUAUGGAUUCAUCUUAUCGGUCAACCCCUUUAGUGUUUUAAUAUCGUUCAAGAGUAUUGCACUAUUUCUCGAGGACGUUCCUACUAUGGGGGUCCGGGGUACACAUGUCGAAAGUGCGGUGCUUUUUAUUGGUUUCAAGAAGGGUCUACGCGUCACAGGGAUGCUGAUCCUCGGCGCCCUGUUUAUACAGGUUGUUGUCGGGACGGGAAGUGUGAAUGUUGGUGGUGGCCCUUACGUGUUUAAAAUGAAUGGUGUUGUCUACCACCGUAUUGGUCCUCUUCUUCCUCAUGGAGAUCAACGUCAUAAGUUUGCACAACUAUAUAUGGUUGAUUCAGCUGACGAAGUAAAACAUAGAAUUGAUGCGUUUGAUCGGGAAGAGGAUGGUUCUCUUGAACCUGAUCCUGAAAUAGUGGCAAGUCUUAUUGAAAUGUUGAAUAUGCAUCAUUAUUUGGUGCACAAGUACAGGAUUGCUCACCAAAGUUUGUGUUCUACUGAUGCACCGGCGGUGUCUAUUCAAUUUUUAGGUGAUGAUGGUGGCAGUCAUGGCACUCGCUUUUCUGGUGCAACAGCUUCUGAAGUAGCUGCUGUUAUUGUUGGUGAGCUCACCCCUGAGUGUGGGAAGUUUGACAUUGUUGUUGAAACAUAUGGUGGCGUGUUGCAGCAUGUGUCUUCUCUUAAUGCUAAUCUCAUGGCUUUGCAAUACCCUCUCCUCUUUCCGUAUGGUGACAAGAGUUAUCAUCUGGGAAUUAAAUAUGUUAAUACUAACCCCUUGGGUGUUGAUGGGCGAGAGGUAUUGUUGGAAGAGUUACCUGAUAGUGGUGCCGUUGUUCCUCGACGUGAUAACUUGCCAUCGGAGACUUAUCAAGGUAUAUCUGAUGCAAUGGGUGAAGGUAGUUCUACAGGUAAGAAUGUGGGUGUACAGUUUAUACUGCAUGGCAGUUUUACUGGUGGGCGGCGAUACAUGUUACUGAAUUACCAUGAUGGGAUGGCUAUUUGUCGUGAGUACGGUGCUCCAGAUUUGUUUGUCACUUUUACAUGCAAUCCUAAAUGGCAAGAGAUUGUUGAUGCUCUUGCUUCUGAGCCUGGACAAGUACCUGCUGAUCGGCCAGAUAUUGUUGCUCGGGUUUUUAAUAUGAAAUUUGUUGAAUUCUUGGCUGAUGUGAAGAGUGGUUCUCUUUUCGGACCUAUCCAAGCAUAUCUAUAUGUUGUUGAGUUUCAAAAAAGGGGCCUUCCACAUAUUCAUACUUUGAUUUGGUUGAAGGCUAAUACUAAGGAUCCAUCGCCAUCUUUUAUAAACGAAUUGAUUUGCGCUGAAUUGCCAGAUCCGUUGGUAGAUCCUUUGGGCUAUGCUCUUGUGGACGAGUUUAUGAUCCAUGGUCCAUGCGGUGUAUAUAACAAUAAGUGUGCUUGCAUGAAAAAUGAUUGUUGUUCCAAAAGAUUUCCUAAACCAUUUAGUGACGAAACGAUGGUUGAUGAUGUGGGUUUUCCUGUUUAUCGUUGUCGUGACAAAGGUCGGGGUAUCGAUGUGGGUAAUGAACGAAGGGGUGUUUUUACAGUGCCAAAUCCUACUGGUAGAAAUGAAAUUGAUGAGUAUGUCAAGUGUAGGUACUUAUCUGCGUGUGAGUCCAUUUGGAGGAUGUUCUCUUAUGAUAUUCAUGGUCGGGAACCUUCUGUUGAAAGAUUGGUAGUACACCUUCCUAAUAUGAAUAAGUUAUUAGGAGUGAGUGAAAGAGGUUCUAUGAGCAACGUAGCAAGCAUGUUUCGUACCACCGCAUACAAAACUUUCUACAAAAUGCACCAGAGGGCGCGGCGUGCCGCCGCGCGGGCAUCGCUAGUACCUCACCAAGAACGUGGUGCAUGGCCACUGGUGUCAAGUCACGCCAUCGAUGUGUGCGGCCGACGCGGUCCUGGGCCAAAGGCGCACCAUUGCCACGUCGCUAUCCUCCUCCGCUGGUCACGCCCGUGGCCGCCACCAUCUCCGCCUCUGCCGUGCAGCCGCUCGCCCCGUACCACCGCGAAGAUUGCUGGUUGGGAGCCCCCCCCCCCUUCCCGGCUCCCGCGUCGUCCCCUUUGGGCGACUCGGGAGCGACUAGGGUUUCCCCCGGCGCUGCCACCCCCCUCCAGCCCCCCUUCCCUUGCCGCCACCAGAGGUACGCCGCCUAGGAGGCUGCCGAUGAAGGUGGCGGCGAGGCUCCCCGUCGCUUCGUCCCCUCGGCGAAGGACCCUGGACGCCGGGGCGGCGGCCCCGGACGGCGAGGCGGCGCCACCUUCGCGGCAGGUGACGGGCGCGGGAUGCGGCGAACGGCCUCCUCGGCAGCUCGGGCAGCGAGGAGCCGGCUGGAGGUGGUCGUGGCGUGGGCUUCUUCCAUCCCAGAUCUGA
rnacentral:rRNA from 1 species